UACGAAGGGGCUAGCGUUGCUCGGAAUCACUGGGCGUAAAGCGCACGUAGGCGGAUCCUUAAGUCGGGGGUGAAAUCCUGGAGCUCAACUCCAGAACUGCCUUCGAUACUGAGGAUCUUGAGUCCGGGAGAGGUGAGUGGAACUGCGAGUGUAGAGGUGAAAUUCGUAGAUAUUCGCAAGAACACCAGUGGCGAAGGCGGCUCACUGGCCCGGUACUGACGCUGAGGCGCGAAAGCUAGGGAGCAACGG
rnacentral:rRNA from 1 species